GGUUAAGCGACUAAGCGUACACGGUGGAUGCCCUGGCAGUCAGAGGCGAUGAAGGACGUGCUAAUCUGCGAAAAGCGUCGGUAAGGUGAUAUGAACCGUUAUAACCGGCGAUGUCCGAAUGGGGAAACCCAGUGCAAUUCGUUGCACUAUCGUUAACUGAAUACAUAGGUUAACGAGGCGAACCGGGGGAACUGAAACAUCUAAGUACCCCGAGGAAAAGAAAUCAACCGAGAUUCCCCCAG
rnacentral:rRNA from 2 species